rnacentral:siRNA from 1 species
UGUAACCAAAACAUAUUUCAGU